CUAGGUCUACAUCAUCUGCACCUGUCCCUUCUCCUGUGGAUGGACCCCUAGGCGGCAACGACAAAGGAUGCUGACCUGGAUGUUCUUGCACAUGGGUCCCUGGUUACAGAUGCUGGAAUUUCUCUAUGGUGCAGCAGCAGGAGUCGACUGUUGGGCCGAGGGUCAAAGGGUCUCUGUCUAAGUGACCUUCAAGAUGGCUAUUUCAACAUCACACCUGGACCCCCAACGUGGGAGAGCUCCGACUCCCACAUUCUCGCCAACAUCACUGGCGUUCCCAGGCGUUUCCUGGUCUCCUGCUGGGGUUCCACGGUGUUCCUCAUCUGCCUGUCCUCGGGGACCAGUGGGCAAGAGUGUCUUUCCAGGCAGAAUUAUUACGCAUAUUGCUGGAAAAUGCACGUUCAGAUUCUUUUGCUCAUUUUAUAUUGGUUAUUUGCUUUUUUUUUUCUUUUAACUUACCAACAUUCUUGAUCCAUUUUCUAUUUUAGUUUACUGAAAAAUAUAUGAGUUCCAAACACCUUCUCCAGACCCAUCAAUUUUUUAGUGGACAAGGUUCCAUCAGAUUUAUGGAUUCCAGCCUAUAAUUUAUGCCUUAUUUAAGAAAUCCUUCCCUACUCUGAGGUCUAUUCUACUUUUCCUUCUAAAGAUUCAAAGUCUUCCUUUACAUAUUUAUGUCUAUUCUACUUUUUCUUCUAAAGAUUCAAAGUGUUCCUUUACAUAUUUGUGUCUUAAUUCUAUCUGGAAUAUAUGUUUUGUGUGUUUAUAGAGACCCAGUUUUCUAAACGAAUUAGUGAGUACCCGGAGCUACUUAGUCAUUGAAGAAUUCUUUUUUACCCAUCUGCAGUGCCGCCAGAUGUUCCGUCUCCCGACACUUGAGGGUACUUUCUGACUAUCCAUUCUGUUUUAUUGGUCUGUUUGUCCAUCCUAAGGCCCAGACCUAACUCUUUAAGGAUUCUGCCUUUGUGACAGGUACAGUUUCCUACCACAGAGUGUCCUCAUUCUUUGUUCUUCUACUUUAAAGGCACGUUUAAAGUGCCUUUAAAGUUCCAUUUAAUGUUAAAAUAAGUUCCAUUUAAAUGUUAAAAUAAGCUUGUC
rnacentral:lncRNA from 1 species